rnacentral:rRNA from 1 species
AACGUAGGACACGAGCGUUAUCCGGAUUUACUGGGCGUAAAGGGCGCGUAGGUGGUGCGAUAAGACUGGUGUGAAAGCCUUCGGCUUAACCGAGGGAGGACACUGGUGACUGUCGGACUUGAGGCAGAUAGAGGGGUGUAGAAUUCCGGGUGUAGUGGUGAAAUGCGUAGAGAUCCGGAGGAAUACCAGAGGCGAAGGCGACACGCUGGGUCAUACCUGACGCUAAAACGCGACAGCAUGGGGAGCGAACGGG